UACAGAGGGGGCAAGCGUUGUUCGGAAUUACUGGGCGUAAAGGGCGCGUAGGCGGCCUUCUAAGUCGAACGUGAAAUCCCCGGGCUCAACCCGGGAACUGCGUCCGAUACUGGAAGGCUUGAAUCCGGGAGAGGGAUGCGGAAUUCCCGGUGUAGCGGUGAAAUGCGCAGAUAUCGGGAAGAACACCCGUGGCGAAGGCGGCUCUCUGGGACGGUACUGACGCUGAGACGCGAAAGCGUGGGGAGCGAACAGG
rnacentral:rRNA from 1 species